GUGCACGCUGGCGGUAGGCCUAACCCAUGCAAGUCGCACGGCAGCACAGUAAGAGCUUGCUCUUACGGGUGGCGAGUGGCGGACGGGUGAGGAAUACAUCGGAAUCUACUUUUUCGUGGGGGAUAACGUAGGGAAACUUACGCUAAUACCGCAUACGACCUACGGGCGAAAGCAGGGGAUCUUCGGACCUUGCGCGAUUGAAUGAGCCGAUGUCGGAUUAGCUAGUUGGCGGGGUAAAGGCCCACCAAGGCGACGAUCCGUAGCUGGUCUGAGAGGAUGAUCAGCCACACUGGAACUGAGACACGGUCCAGACUCCUACGGGGGGCAGCAGUGGGGAAUAUUGGACAAUGGGCGCAAGCCUGAUCCAGCCAUACCGCGUGGGUGAAGAAGGCCUUCGGGUUGUAAAGCCCUUUUGUUGGGAAAGAAAAGCAGCAGGUUAAUACCCCGCUGUUCUGACGGUACCCAAAGAAUAAGCACCGGCUAACUUCGUG
rnacentral:rRNA from 1 species